UGCCUCCUUUGAACUGUAUAUUUUGGAGUUAUCAAACUGUCCAAAUGUGAAGGAAGUUUUUUGUUGUUGUUGUUGUUGUUUUAAAGAAAGCAACCUACAGAAGACAACUAUAAGAUGUCAAGAAACAACUUCUGGGCCAUGGUGCAGCAGCAGGUCAGAGUACCACAGAAGUGACAAGCAAAUUGCCAGGAAGAAUCUGGAACAGAUCACUGCAGAACUGCCUAUAAAUGAUUGCAUGGUACAGAAAGGCAGUGUGAAAAGGUCACUGGCCUGAGAUCAGAAGACCUGGAUUGUGAUCAUGUGAGGACAAAGAGCCAGUCUACAGUGGCCUUCUUCAGGGAACGCAAAGACCCAAGAGUUGGUGUAAAA
rnacentral:lncRNA from 1 species